GAAUUUUCUUUAAUAAUUGCUUAAAUUUUGAGAAGAAUUUUUUACAACUACAUAAAGGACAAUAAUAUUUGAUAAAUGCAAGGAGAGUUUGAACCUUAAAAGAAAAUUAACGAAACUAUUUCUUAAAUAGAAAGAAAGAAAUGUGGUUGAAGUUGUCAAAUUUGCUUAUAUUAUGUUUAUCUUUCUUUCUAUAUUGUCGGUGUCAAUCUUCCAUGGAAGAAAUUCCAAGUGCAAGAGGGAUACAGAUUGUUUAAGUCGUAUGUGCCUGCCACCAAAGAUAAUGAAGUGUUCCAAUAAACUAUGUGUGUGUGCUCCUAUAUGAUUAUGCAUUUAAUGUCUUAUCCAAGAGAGUACCCAAAUGAGCUUCAAGAUAGUUUUAUGAACUAUAAUGUAGUUAUUGUAUUGUCAUAUCAUAGUUUGUUUUUUUUUUCUUUUACAUUUAACAAACAGUGUAUUAUGCUUAAUUUUAUUUACAUUGUGUUCU